CCUACGGGGGGCAGCAGUGGGGAAUAUUGCACAAUGGGGGAAACCCUGAUGCAGCGACGCCGCGUGAGUGAAGAAGUAAUUCGUUACGUAAAGCUCUAUCAGCAGGGAAGAAAAUGACGGUACCUGAGUAAGAAGCCCCGGCUAACUACGUGCCAGCAGCCGCGGUAAUACGUAGGGGGCAAGCGUUAUCCGGAUUUACUGGGUGUAAAGGGAGCGUAGACGGUGCGCCAAGUCUGGAGUGAAAUGCCGCAGCUUAACUGCGGAACUGCUUUGGAAACUGGCGAACUAGAGUGCGGGAGGGGUAA
rnacentral:rRNA from 1 species